rnacentral:rRNA from 1 species
GAUGAACGCUAGCGGCAGGCUUAACACAUGCAAGUCGAGGGGCAUCGAGAGUAGCAAUACUUGUCGGCGACCGGCGCAAGGGUGCGUAACACGUGAGCAACAUACCCGUUUCAGGAGGAUAACCGGAGGAAACUCUGCCUAAUACUCCAUGACAUCAUCAAACGGCAUCGUUUGAUGAUUAAAGAUUUAUCGGAAACGGCUUGGCUCGCGGGACAUUAGCUUGUUGGUGAGGUAACGGCUCACCAAGGCUACGAUGUCUAGGGGUUCUGAGAGGAAGGUCCCCCACACUGGAACUGAGACACGGUCCAGACUCCUACGGGAGGCAGCAGUGAGGAAUAUUGGACAAUGGUCGGAAGACUGAUCCAGCCAUGCCGCGUGAAGGUUACUGUCCUAUGGAUAUUAAACUUCUUUUGUAUGAGAGCAAUAAGGUGCACGCGUGCACCGAUGAGAGUACCAUACGAAUAAGCAUCGGCUAACUCCG